UGCACCGUCUCGGCCCGGUGCCCUCGGCGGCGGCGCGCGCAGCCCUGGCCCGGGGCCUCGCUCUGCCAGUCGUUAGCUGGGGGACUGAUAAGUCACUUCCCCUCUAGGGCUUAUCCGUCCGCUAAAGUUUGUGUCUGCCUUGUAGAGUUGUGAGGGUUAAAGUGUGUUCGCAGCAGACGAUAAGCUGUAAGCUAGCUCCUGUUUACACCAAAUAGCAAAAACGCUUGUGUAGUGAGGGAGGCAGAUGUGCGUAAGGUAACACAUGUUCGGGCAAGCACACGAGUGUUCUCAACAUCUGUUAGCAAACUGCAAGUGAUGGCGAUAACACAGACGAAGGAGUAACCGCGGUGUUGCCAUCAGAGGACUUGGUGUCUUUAGGGAAAACACAUGGAAACAGUGACAAGAUUUGGGCCCUAGGUCGCCUGCGGGAGGGGGAGGUGUUAGGGAGUGGCCCAGCAGCAGCGCUUGGAGGGGGGACACCAGGAACAACAAAGAGGAGACAGGAAUUUCAUUUCAAGUUGAAGGAACUCAACUGAGGGUGACUCUGGACUGAAUAAGAGCAGCAGGACGUUGGAAUUGAGAGGAAUUAAAGGGCUCUUAGUUGGCAAGGAUCUAUUUUCCAUUGUAGGAUGGAUUUCAGAAAGGAUUAAGACCAACGAGCAGGAAAACCGCUUUAUAGAACCUUGCAUACAAAAGAAAUGAAGGUGCGUUCGGUCAGUAGUUAAAAGGUGGAGAGGAAGAGACCAGAAAUGCAUAGGAUGUAAGCAACAUAAACUGGCAAACUAAGAACAGACAGACUUGGGGCUUGGUGGGUCAGGGUUGCGCCCUCCGCUGAGCUAGGGCACUGAGGCUGUCUGAACUGUUGCAGGAGUUGGAAGUUACAGCCUGCUCUGGCAGGACAGUGAUCUGAUGCUAUGAGACAGCAGAGUUAGCAAAUGACAGGGGAGAAACGAAGCUUUGCAACAUUGACCAGAGAGUUGUGUAUUUCAUUUUGUAACCAAUACCACAAAGUAAAGGCCCCCAAAAGAUACUACAAGAGUUUGUAUCCCAGACAGUGGCCAUUGUCUGAAACUAUAAGGUGGAGUGAGCAGCAUGGUAACUGUUACAACAGAUCAGAAGUGAUGACCUGAAUUUUCCUUUCCAGGAGCCCUGGUACAUCCUCAGAAAUACUCCUCCUAGAUUUUAUUUUUUAAAACAUAAUUAGCAAAUGUAUCUUUUUUAAAGAUUUAUUUAUUUAUUUGAAAGGCAGAGUUACAGAAAGAGAGCUUCCAUCCACUGGUUCACUCCCCAACUGGCAGCAACAGCUGGGCCUGUCUGAAGCCAGAAGCUAGGAGCUACUUCCAGGUCUCCCACAUGGGUGCGGGAGGAGCCCAAGUACUUGGUCCAUCUUCCACUGCUUUCCCAGGCCAUUAGCAGGGAGCUGGGUGCAAAGUGGAGCAACCGGCACCCAUAUGGUAUAUGGUAUGCUGGCUCUGCAGGCAGCAGCUUUACCCGCUACACUACAGUGCCGGCCUCUCCUAGAUUUUAAAUAGAGACAAGAAGCGGAAUGUCUUCCCUGUUCCUUUCCUAGCUGUGACUCAUACCGACCAGGGGGAAGGAGAAGGGAAUGUACUACGUACCUGCCACUUAAUACCCGGCGUGCCUCAGGAGUGGUCUCCAGAGGAGGUGAGAAUCCUGUGUGCAUGUCACACACGUCUGAAUCCAAGCCAUUCCAAGUACAUACACUCAGGCCUCCGUCUUCCCCAGCCUCCACACCGCAGCCUCACCCCAGCCUGGGCUUCGCCCUCCAAGCCCUCAAUUCCCCAGGUCUUGCUGAUCCCAAAGAUGAAGAGACAAAUGAAAUUGGUCUUGCCUUGCCUUUGCACAGGUGAGUCUUUGGAACAGUGGUGAGGGAGGGGAAAUCCCAUCAGGGCCCAAAGGGGAUUCUGAAGAGGGAAAGAUAAGAAUGGAGAGAAACUCCAAGUGGAGAGGCUGGGGAAGAAAGGAGAGUUCCAAGUUCCCCAGUUCACCCCCUGGCCGGUGCUCUCUCAUGACUGACUUAGGCAAUGGGUGAAGUGGAGCUGGGAACCUGAGGCCGGGACAGCCAUAUCCUGGUGGUGAUGUUUGCCACGCAAUUGCAGAAAUACCGUCCCCCGUGGGCAAGCCAGAGGAAGCUUCCCGGUAUCUCUCACUAAAGAGCGAGCUGGCCGAGAGCAGGGUAAUGCACCCACCAUCUAACACGAAUAUUUUUAUAGAUGAAAGCCCCCCCAAAGGUUUAAGGUAGAGUUAUAGACAGAGACAGAGAGAAAGGUCUUCCUUCCACUGGUUCACUCCCCAGAUGGCAGCUACGGCCGGUGCUGCGCCAAUCCGAAGCCACAGCAGAGAGCUGGACUGGAAGAGGAGCAGCCGGGACUAGAACCGGCGCCCAUAUGGGAUCCCAGCGCCCAUAAGGGAUGCUGGCGCCGCAGGCGGAGGAUUAACUAAGGGAGCCACGGCGCCGGCCCCUCUCAUGUCUGUUCUUAACCAGCAAUCAGCUCCCUGAGUUCUCGAAGGAAAGUACAUAUAUGGAAGACUUCAGCUGAGUGCAAGGGAUACUUGACUGACUGUGGCCCGAGCGCUGUUUGUUUUGGCCAGGCGUUCUCCAGAGACUAGGGCCAAAGCCAGCCAGCUGUGGUGAAGCCGAGCGGAGCCCAGGGUCCCAGCAGCUGGGGUGUGCACCCACGCCUCGGCGAGGCCAUGGCCACCACGGCAGGUGCUUCUGGGGCCGUGCUCGUGCAGACCCUGGCGGCUCUUUCCGGCAGAAGAUUUAACGAAGCCCUCGUGCCACAGGGCACCAUGGCUUUGCAUUCACCUAGCUGUGGGCUGGUUUGUCCCCAGAGGCCUUCACGAUGGCAGAGGUCAGCAAUUUGAGCAGUCAAUGUAUUCAUGUCAAGCAAAGAUGACAAAAAAUUCAUGCAACUCACAGCUAUCUUGAGAAUUGUCACAAAAUGGAUGUGUUCAUUAUAAUUUUUUGAGCAGAUUAACUUUCAUAACAACUAAAGGAUACGAUUUCCUCCAAGACAGGCUUUGCCAGAACCUAAGCCCUGGAAGGUUACACAGUGCACAGAACUAAACUGCAUAUGCAGCCUAAGUAGAGAACGAGGUAUAACAGGAGAGCGCGUUCUCCACCAUCGAUCAACAGUUCAGAAACUCAAUUUCACGUGGAAAAUAUAGAAGCUGUAGAGAUCUACUCUCAACCAGACCUUGGUCCCACCUGGCUGAUGCUAAUUCUUGGUCUUUGAAAUGACCAAGAAGUCCUUCAGCUGUCUCCUUUCUCUUUGUAACAAAGUAGGGACCAGCCCCCUGCUAUGAAUUACCUAUAAUCUUACAUGUUUAAAGGGUUCUCCUCGCAUGGCUGUCUCAACAAGAUGGGGAAGGAUUAUCAGGUAAGCGUAAUUCUUCAAUUGCAGAAAACAAGAAAGUAAACUUUAAAAAUAUUUAAUUGGUAUGAAAGUCAGAGUUACAGAGAGAGGAGGAGAGACAGCGAGAAAUCUUCCAUUCACUGGGUCACUCCCCAAAUGGCCACAAUGGAAAAGGCUGGGCCAGGCCAAAGCCAGAAGCCUGGAACUCCAUCCGGGUCUCCCACAUGGGUGGCAGGGGCCCAAGCACUUGGGCCAUCUUCCACUGCUUUCCCAGGAGCAUUAGCAGGGAGCUGGAUUGGAAGUGGAGCAGCCAGGAAUUGAACUGGCACUCACAGGAGAUGCCAGCAUUGCAGGGGGGUGCUUCAUCCGCUGUGCCACAAUGCUGGCCCUGUAAACUUUGACAGUUCCGUGAAGUGAGAAAUGUAUAAGCCACCGACUUUCACCCAGUCACAUGGCUUUCCAGAGCUUCCCUAAAGAGCUCGAAGCUGGGGGUGUGUCACUCACACCCCACAAGGAUUUUAUCAGGCGGAAGACUUGGUUCUGCCUUUUCCAGCCUUCCAGACACUCUUUCCUACCUGACACAGAGGCUUUAUCACACUGUCACCAAGCACAAAGUUCCCAGUUUGCUGGAUUCACUCGCUGAUACUACCACUUGGGCAUGACCCAAGGGACACGUCACAGCCUAAAACAAGAUAGAGCGCUUCAGUUUCGUCAUUUGAGGUAGAUAGAGUCAUCUGAUUCUUGAGCCUCAUUCCAGUACUGACCCUCACCCUGUGCCAGUUCCUGGGGUGGGAGUGGGGUGGGAGGUAACAAGACCGGAAGCCAGCCUAGGGGGGCUCAGGAAUGGUAGGAUG